GGGAGUGAAAGAGAACCUGAAACCCUAUGUUUACAAGCAGAUAGAGCGAUUUAAGGCGCGAUAUCGUACUUUUUGUAGAACGGUCCAGCGAGUUAUUGUAUAUGGCGAGGUUAAGUUCUGAAUAAGGAAUGGAGCCGAAGAGAAAUCGAGUCUGAAUAGGGCGAUAUAAGUCAUAUAUAAUAGACCCGAAACCGGGUGACCUAUCCAUGGUCAGGAUGAAGCUGAAGUAAAAUUCAGUGGAGGUCCGAACUGAUUGUCGUUAAAAAGGCACCGGAUGAACUGUGGAUAGCGGAGAAAUUCCAAUCGAACUCGGAGAUAGCUGGUUCUCCUCGAAAUAGCUUUAGGGCUAGCCUUGAGGUAAAAGAAUUAUGGGGGUAGAGCACUGAAUGAGGUAGGGGCCAAACCAGGUUACUGAACUCUAUCAAACUGCGAAUACCAUAAUUAGAAUACUCAGGAGUCAGACUGCGGGAGCUAAGUUCCGUGGUCAAAAGGGAAAGAGCCCAGACCGACAAUUAAGGUCCCAAAGAUAUAGUUAAGUGGAAAACGAUGUGAAUUUGCAUAAACAACCAGGAUGUUGGCUCAGAAGCAGCCACUCAUUCAAAGAGUGCGUAACAGCUCACUGGUCGAGUGAAUUUGCGCGGAAAAUUACCGGGGCUAAACUAUACACCGAAAUUUCGGAUUUACGUAUGAAAAUAUGUAAGUGGUAGAGGAGCAUUCUGUAGUAGGACGAAGUCAAAGCGAAAGCAUUGGUGGACGAGGCAGAAGAGAGAAUGCUGGAAUAAGUAGCGAGAGCAAGGUGAGAAUCCUUGCCGUCGAAAGUCUAAGGUUUCCUGGGGAAGGUUCGUCCGCCCAGGGUAAGUCGGGGCCUAAGGAGAGGCCGAAAGGCGUAUCUGAUGGAUAGCAGGUGGAGAUUCCUGCACUAUAGCUAGUUUUAAAAGAUGCAAGGGACGCAGUAGAGGAAGAUAACCAAGGAAGAGGAAAGACUUGGUCCGCAAGGGAUAGUGAAAAUUAAUAGUAACGAAAUAUCAAGAAUCACACUGACGAGAAAAGCUUGUAGAUAUUAACUAGAAAUACCCGUACCGCAAACCGACACAGGUAGAUGAGGAGAGGAUCCUAAGACGAGCGGGAGAAGCAUUGUUAAGGAACUCGGCAAAAUAACCCCGUAACUUCGGGAGAAGGGGAACCUAAGUAAAAUUAGGUCGCAGAGAAAAGGCCCAAGCAACUGUUUAACAAAAACACAGGUUUCUGCAAAAUCGAAAGAUGAAGUAUAGGAGCUGACGCCUGCCCAGUGCUGGAAGGUUAAGGGAAAGAGUUAGAUGUAAGUCGAAGCUUAGAACUAAAGCCCCAGUGAACGGCGGCCGUAACUAUAACGGUCCUAAGGUAGCGAAAUUCCUUGUCAGGUAAGUUCUGACCCGCACGAAAGGCGUAAUGAUUUGGGCACUGUCUCGACAAUGUACCCGGCGAAAUUGUAGUACUAGUGAAGAUGCUAGUUACCUGCGACAAGACAGAAAGACCCCAUGGAGCUUUACUGCAGUUUGAUACUGGGUUUCGAUAAGUUAUGUACAGGAUAGGUGGGAGACAAAGAAAGAAAGGCGUCAGCUUUUCCGGAGUCACCGUUGGGAUACCACCCUUAAUUUGUUGGAAUUCUAACUAGUGGUCAUGAUCUGGCCAGAGGACAAUGUCAGACGGGCAGUUUGACUGGGGCGGUCGCCUCCAAAAGAGUA
rnacentral:rRNA from 1 species